rnacentral:rRNA from 1 species
UGGGGAAUAUUGCACAAUGGGCGCAAGCCUGAUGCAGCCAUGCCGCGUGUAUGAAGAAGGCCUUCGGGUUGUAAAGUACUUUCAGCGGGGAGGAAGGGAGUAAAGUUAAUACCUUUGCUCAUUGACGUUACCCGCAGAAGAAGCACCGCCUAACUCCGUGCCAGCAGCCGCGGUAAUACGGAGGGUGCAAGCGUUAAUCGGAAUUACUGGGCGUAAAGCGCACGCAGGCGGUUUGUUAAGUCAGAUGUGAAAUCCCCGGGCUUAACCCGGGAAUUGCAUCUGAUACUGGUCAGCUAGAGUCUUGUAGAGGGGGGUAGAAUUCCAUGUGUAGCGGUGAAAUGCGUAGAGAUGUGGAGGAAUACCGGUGGCGAAGGCGGCCCCCUGGACAAAGACUGACGCUCAGGUACGAAAGCGUGGGGAGCAAACAGG